AGCGAACGCUGGCGGCAGGCCUAACACAUGCAAGUCGAACGAACCUUUCGGGGUUAGUGGCGGACGGGUGAGUAACACGUGGGAACGUGCCUUUAGGUUCGGCAUAACUCAGGGAAACUUGUGCUAAUACCGAAUGUGCCCUUCGGGGGAAAGAUUUAUCGCCUUUAGAGCGGCCCGCGUCUGAUUAGCUAGUUGGUUGAGGUAAUGGCUCACCAAGGCGACGAUCAGUAGCUGGUCUGAGAGGAUGAUCAGCCACAUUGGGACUGAGACACGGCCCAAACUCCUACGGGAGGCAGCAGUGGGGAAUCUUGCGCAAUGGGCGAAAGCCUGACGCAGCCAUGCCGCGUGAAUGAUGAAGGUCUUAGGAUUGUAAAAUUCUUUCGCCGGGGACGAUAAUGACGGUACCCGGAGAAGAAGCCCCGGCUAACUUCGUG
rnacentral:rRNA from 1 species